rnacentral:rRNA from 1 species
CAUCUGAUACUGGCAAGCUUGAGUCUCGUAGAGGGGGGUAGAAUUCCAGGUGUAGCGGUGAAAUGCGUAGAGAUCUGGAGGAAUACCGGUGGCGAAGGCGGCCCCCUGGACGAAGACUGACGCUCAGGUGCGAAAGCGUGGGGAGCAAACAGGAUUAGAUACCCUGGUAGUCCACGCCGUAAACGAUGUCGACUUGGAGGUUGUGCCCUUGAGGCGUGGCUUCCGGAGCUAACGCGUUAAGUCGACCGCCUGGGGAGUACGGCCGCAAGGUUAAAACUCAAAUGAAUUGACGGGGGCCCGCACAAGCGGUGGAGCAUGUGGUUUAAUUCGAUGCAACGCGAAGAACC